CCUCGGGGCGGCAGCAGUGGGGAAUAUUGGACAAUGGGCGAAAGCCUGAUCCAGCCAUGCCGCGUGUGUGAAGAAGGCCUUCGGGUUGUAAAGCACUUUCAGUGGGGAAGAAAGCCUUGGGGCUAAUACCCUCGAGGAAGGACAUCACCCACAGAAGAAGCACCGGCUAACUCCGUGCCAGCAGCCGCGGUAAUACGGAGGGUGCGAGCGUUAAUCGGAAUUACUGGGCGUAAAGCGCGCGUAGGCGGUCUGAUAAGCCGGUUGUGAAAGCCCCGGGCUCAACCUGGGAACGGCAUCCGGAACUGUCAGGCUAGAGUGCAGGAGAGGAAGGUAGAAUUCCCGGUGUAGCGGUGAAAUGCGUAGAGAUCGGGAGGAAUACCAGUGGCGAAGGCGGCCUUCUGGACUGACACUGACGCUGAGGUGCGAAAGCGUGGGUAGCAAACAGGAUUAGAUACCCCUGUAGUC
rnacentral:rRNA from 1 species